CGGACGGUCGCGGCGCUGGAGCGCGCCGGCUACCGGUCGGCGCACAUCGCGCGGCAGUUCGACGCCGCCUGGUUCGAC
rnacentral:tRNA from 1 species